CACCCAGCACAAGUCCUUUGAAACCUGAAAUUGAGAAAUCAAAUUAGCAGCAAGGCUGAGAAAAAAAAUCGCUUACGAAGCAAUUUCCUACCCCUAGUAAUUUAUUCAAUUAGAGAACGUUCAUGAUUGAAACCUUCCUUAAAUUAUCUUUGUGUCGACUUUGUUAAAGGAAUUUAAGAGAUUUAGAGACUUCGCAUUGCCUUAACCAAAGAAAAUCCACCAGCGGCUUCUAAGAUUAAAUCCGAAGUUGUCUUAAUUAGCUGCGGCCAAUUAAUUAUCACUAAUUCUAAGCUUAAUUGAGAAAUUCGAUUCCUCAAUGUGCACUUAAAUGAUGAUAGGGAAAAUUCCCAAUUUAAUUAGGUGAUCACUCCAAUUGAAAUAGAAAAAUUCCUUGAAAGAUAAAAUCAAACAAUUCAAGAAUGCCGAAUUUGAUUUGAUAGCAAAAUAAAUUUUUCAAAGCACUUGUGCCAGGUUUCAUGAGUGUCUAACUAAGCUUAAAUAAACUAGCCACUCAUAGCAAACGAAAUGAGACAAAAAUCAAUUGUAAACAACACAAAUUUCAGACUGAAUUUUGGAGAAGAAAAAAAUUCCCAAAUCGUCGAGCUUCUCUUCUCUUGAUUAGUUGAAAUUCUGGGCUGCUACUUAGAUUUCUGAUUCGGCUUUUGCUCAUUCAAUUUCAGAUUUUCCUUUGCUCGAGUGCCACACUUUUCUGCUACUUUCCUCUGCUGUUCGACUGCUCUUUUAAAACUGCUGUACGCCUCUUUUUAUGGAAGAAUUAAUGGCCUCCAGCAAAAAAUUAAAAUAAUUCAUUCCUAUCCCCUUUAUCCUAGCUGAUCC
rnacentral:lncRNA from 1 species